rnacentral:rRNA from 1 species
CCUACGGGUGGCAGCAGUGAGGAAUAUUGGUCAAUGGGCGCGAGCCUGAACCAGCCAAGUCGCGUGAGGGAGGACGGCCCUACGGGUUGUAAACCUCUUUUGCCGGGGAGCAACGGGCGCCACGUGUGGCGUCACUGAGAGUACCCGGAGAAAAAGCAUCGGCUAACUCCGUGCCAGCAGCCGCGGUAAUACGGAGGAUGCGAGCGUUAUCCGGAUUUAUUGGGUUUAAAGGGUGCGUAGGCGGAUCGUUAAGUCAGUGGUCAAAUUGAGGGGCUCAACCUCGCUCCGCCGUUGAAACUGGCGUUCUUGAGUGGGCGAGAAGUAUGCGGAAUGCGUGGUGUAGCGGUGAAAUGCAUAGAUAUCACGCAGAACUCCGAUUGCGAAGGCAGCAUACCGGCGCCCAACUGACGCUGAAGCACGAAAGCGUGGGUAUCGAACAGGAUUAGAUACCCUUGUAGUC